rnacentral:rRNA from 1 species
AUGAAACCAUCGCCAAGGGCGUACCGGUGGGCCUGCAGACCGGGGCCUGGUGGCUUCCUUAUUUCCCGGAUGCCUACCGCUUCCACUUCAACAUGCAUAAUCUGGUGGUAUUCGGCAAGAAGGGAGACAGCUAUCUGAUCAGCGAUCCGGUCUUCCCGGAACCGGUGGU